AAGUCGGUCCCUAUGGUCAGAUUUGGACUGAUUUUAUCCAUUUCUCUGUUACUCUUCCCACGUGAUGUGCACGCGACCCUUUUAAGAAGAGCAAAAUCGCCACUUCACCCUUCCUCCCUCCCCCCUUCCCCCCCACCCCCCCAAAAAAAAAAUAGCCCUAAUGCCCCAAUUUUGUUACCCAGACUAGUGAUGGUGCUGAGAUGAGGCGCGAGACAUUGACCUCAAGUGAUGGAAGAGCUGUGUUGGGGAGAUGCUGUAAAUGUCUAAAAGAGGCAUUAAUAAGGACAUCGUGGACAGAUUUAAACUCUAGAAGAAGAGAGGUCGACGGUGUGAUUUGUAGAAGUGGGCAGACCCAGAAAUGUGCGAUCUUUCGAAUAAGAUCAUUCCCAGGCUGUUAAGGCGUAUUAGAACCAUGGAGGAGGAACUUCAGUUGCAGAGAGCUAAAGUAAUGAAGAUUAGGUUUUGGUUUGGGCCUUUUUGUGUUAUUGAAACCAAAUUCAUGGAUGGGAAACAUCUGAAAUUGGAAUUAAUGUGAUGAAAGGGUUUGAUGGCAUGUAUUUUGUGGUUUUGGGUUUUGGGUAAUAUGUGUUAGCAGUGUUGUUGGGUUUUUGUAUCUGUUUUUUGACGCCAUUUUCUGUAUAUAUAUAUUUGGCUAGCUCUGAAUGAAGUGGUGCAAUUCGUA